UACGUAGGGUGCAAGCGUUGUCCGGAAUUAUUGGGCGUAAAGAGCUCGUAGGCGGUCUGUCGCGUCGGCUGUGAAAACUUGGGGCUCAACCCCAAGCCUGCAGUCGAUACGGGCAGACUAGAGUGCGGUAGGGGAGACUGGAAUUCCUGGUGUAGCGGUGAAAUGCGCAGAUAUCAGGAGGAACACCGGUGGCGAAGGCGGGACUCUGGGCCGAUACUGACGCUGAGGAGCGAAAGCGUGGGGAGCAAACAGG
rnacentral:rRNA from 1 species